GGGGAUUUAGCUCAGCGGCAUAAGCACCUGCCUUGCAAGCAGGCCGUCGUAAUCCCCG
rnacentral:tRNA from 1 species